rnacentral:lncRNA from 1 species
UGAAGAUCCUCAGCCUGUGGAUGAAAGGGGUCAAGGUUGCUUUCCUCAGUAGCUGGAGUGGCAGUUAAUUCACCAAAGAUGAUUCACAACCCAUGACAGCUGUAAAGGCAAGAAGCAUGCCUGCAUGAAGCCUCUGCACAGAGCUAAGGAAGCACAACAGCACUACAGCAUCGUUGUUCUUUUCAGUGAUGCCCCCUCAGCAGCAGUCCUGAGAAAGGUGUCCCUGCUGGCAGCAUCAGUCUUUGUUCUCACUGUCAGCCUCACUUCUGCAGUUUUAUUCUGCUUUGUCUUCAUGCCAGACUGGAAGACUCAGCUGAAGCAAGCCGUGAAUCUAGGGAGUAUCCAAGGAUUACAUCAACCAGUAAUUUGGGAAGUGUUGCUCUGCAUUCAUUUCAGUGCCAUGAGUCUGAUAGGUUUGCUUUCCAAUGUGUAUGUAUGUGAUCCAUUGGGUUCAUAAAAAGUCUAAUUAAUUGUACUUUAAAAAGAGGAGCUAGACACGCUGUUACACAUCUGUUACAGGCUGGCAAAAAUAAAAAUCUGGCCCUAGCAUCCA